GUGUGUGUGUGUGUGUGUGUGUGUGUGUGUUUGUGUGUGUGUGUGUGUGUGUGUGUAUACAAGUGAGUGGACAGAUGAAAGAAAGUGGCACUCA